GGAAGACAGGUUUGUGGUUUCAAGGACAGUUUACUGUAAAUCACUUACAUUAUCAGGUAGAAUAAGCUUGAGCAUUAUGUUUGUUUGAAUUAAAUAUGCUAAUAUUACUUUCUUCCAAAGGGUUGAUGAGGUUGAACAAGAAAAUGUUAGCCAGAUCGUUUUAAUGCUGUGGCUGACAGUUUAACAUUAAAUCUUCAGUAAUUUAAAGUUCAUCACCACUCAUUCAAAAGCAACAACACAAACCCAGACUCUUAAAAUAUAUUACAUUAGAGGGCACCACAAACAAAAUUAAAACAGUUGAGACAGAUUCAAAAAGAUAAUGCUUGGGAGAGGAGAGUGGAAGAAACAGAGGGUUAAUUCUUCUCUUGACAAGCAGGUUGGAAAGAUCAGACAGAAACAAAAUUACUCUACUUGGAUUGGUACAAGUGUCCAGGCAAAGUGGGAAUGGAAGUGUGGGUGGCUUGCUGAUGAAAGGCAGAUGUCACAUUUCAUGUGUCAAAUGUCCUUGUUAGGUUUUUUUUUCCUUCUUUUUUUUUCUUGGUUCUUCCCUGUCUCCAAAUCUGCCAACACUUCAACAAAUGUACCCCAUUUUCUCUCUCUCGUCCUCUCUCUGAUUACUUUCUAUGUUCUCUUCUGCAAGAGGGAUAGUGUUUAGUCUAAUUGACCAACUAUGGCGAUGACAAAGGUAUCAAAGCAAAGUGAUUUUGAUUUUUCCUUUUGAGACAUGCCUGCUUUUUCAUUUUGUCAGUUCCUCAUCUUUUUCAAACCAUCCAGUUAAGAUCUUUAUGUAGGUGGCAAAGAUAUAAAGGUUAGAGUUUCUGCUUAAAGUUUAGUAUUUUAUCCUAAGACUUGCAAAUCUAAACUAUGCUAGAGGUUGAAAUACUUAAUUUAUUUGGAUAAAAUAAGCAACUUGUUUCAAGGUUAUUUAUAUCCAUAUGUCUAUGCACUUAUCGGACUACAGUAUGUACAAUGUGGACUUUUUUUCUUUUGCUGCAGUACUAACUGUGAGCAAUUGGAGGAGCUCUAGUGAUAUUGUUUUGAUCACUCGGAAAGACCACUGGAAGGACCAAAUCUGCAUCUGUAUACAUGUGCAUGCAAACCUUGACUGUGUACCUAUUUUUGUAUGUUUGUUACUUCUGCUGCUGUGCUGACGAUGCAUGCAUUUGUGGAUUAAAGUUAUGUUAGUGCAUGUGUUCAAUGUGCACAGCCUUAUACAUAUUUUUUGUAUACACAGAGCCAUGUGUGUCAUAUGGGUAACAAACGUGUGUAAAUUCAAGUACAGCAAUGAAA
ensembl:lncRNA